CCUACGGGUAGCAGCAGUGAGGGAUAUUGCACAAUGGGCGGAAGACUGAACCAGCGACGCAGCGUGCAUGAUGACGUACCUCGGGAUGUAAAGCUCUUUUGACAGGGAAGAAUAUAGCCGGUACCUGACUAAGAAGCACCGGCUAACUACGUGCCAGCAGCCGAGUUAAUACGUAGGGGCCGCGCGUUAGCCGGAUUCACUGGGUGUAAAGGGAGCGUAGGCGGCAAGGCAAGCCUGGAGUGAAAUCUCGUGGCCCAACCCCGGGACUGCUGUGGGAACUGUCCUGCUGGAGUGCGGGAGGGGCAGGCGGAAUUCGUGGUGUAGCGGUGAAAUGCGUAGAUAUCAGGAGGAACACCGACGGCGAAGGCAGCCUGCGGGAGCGCGACUGACGUUGAGGCUCGAAGGCGUGGGUAGCGAACAGGAUUAGAUACCCUGGUAGUC
rnacentral:rRNA from 1 species